rnacentral:lncRNA from 1 species
GGAGAGCCUGAAACCAUGAGGUGGGGGGCCACGCACCUCUCCACGUCAUGGGAGACAGCUGGGACUCUGUUCCUAUUGCGGCCAGGAGGGACACCAGCUUCAGCGGUGCCCGGUGCGUCCUAAGCCGGGGUCCACUAGAACAGAGGGGUGGCCCUGUGACCUUCCAUCUCCCAAGCUCUAGUGGACUCCAGUGCCGCUGGGAACUUCAUCAACCAGGCCCUCGCCUCCUCCCUGAACUUAACUUCAUACCCGCUCUCCUCCUUUUCCUGUCCAAGCUCUGGAUAUGUGACCAUUGGGAUCCACCACAAUUACUCAUGUCACAGCACCACUCACCUUCAACGUGGGACCCAAGCACUAGGAAAGCCUUCCCUUCACCACCGCACCCAUAUACAAAGUAAUCCUCGGCCUCCCAUGGCUUCAACUCCAUAACCCCACCAUCUCCUGGUCAAGGAUGAGAAUCAUCGCCUGGGGACCAGGAUGCCGAGGGACCUGCUUUCCCGCACCCUGUGGUUCCACGUCUGUGGAGGGUCUUGGGAGUGUCCUCCAGCCCAUCAAGCGGUCCUCCCGUAUCGUUGGUCCCAUGUUUUGGGACAUGAUGUGGACAUCUGCCAGGCUCUGUAGAGAACCAGCUCCUGCCACCUGCCCUCCAGAGUGCAUCUACGUCCCCAAGGAGGUGAGAGAUCGGCUGUUGACCUGGGCACACACAUCCCUUGCCGCUGGACACCCAGGUAUCACCCGCACCAUCCAAUUCCUCUCCGAUAAAUACUGGUGGCCCACCUUGGCGAAGGACGUCGCCCACUAUGUCAACUUAUGUUCAGUAUGUACUCAGUCCAAAUCUUCCCGGCACACUCCAGCAGGUGAACUACUUUCGCUUCCCUCAGCGCCCUUGGUCACAUCUGUCCAUAGACUUUGUUAUGGAUCUCCC